UACGUAGGGAGCAAGCGUUGUCCGGAAUCAUUGGGCGUAAAGGGCGCGUAGGCGGCCAUUCAAGUCGGGGGUGAAAGCCUGUGGCUCAACCACAGAAUUGCCUUCGAUACUGUUUGGCUUGAGACCGGAAGAGGUAAGUGGAACUGCGAGUGUAGAGGUGAAAUUCGUAGAUAUUCGCAAGAACACCAGUGGCGAAGGCGGCUUACUGGUCCGGUUCUGACGCUGAGGCGCGAAAGCGUGGGGAGCAAACAGGG
rnacentral:rRNA from 1 species